rnacentral:lncRNA from 1 species
AUACGUCCAGCAGCUGAUCCCAUCCGCCAAUCUACUCCUUUCUUUAUCUUUUGUUUUAGAUUUCAUUCAACCAAUUCCAUAAAAAAAACCAAAAGAAUCAUAUCUUGUUCCUGUUCUUGUUCCUGUUAAAAACUCAUUAAGGUUCCUAUCUGUUUCAGGUUCGAUCGCAAGCAAGAGACGAACCGGCCAGUACCAUCUGUCCGAGGCAAGCUGAACCGCGGAACGGCCAUCCGUCCGUGCGUCCGUCCGUCCGUUCGACCCUCCGACCCGUGCCUACAACAUUUUGGUAUCAGAGCUGAAGUUUCCUGCGAAACUCAGUUCUUUCUGAAACCCUAGCCGUCACCAUUCAAAAAAAAAAAAAUAUUUACUUUCCUUUUUUUUUAAAAAAAUUUCGGAUUGUUCUCCAAGUUUUUCCAUUUUUUUUUUUUAAAGAAGUUUUACUUUCUUUCCAAGUUUUCGAAAAUCAAAAAAAAUAAAUAAAUAUUCAUCUUUCCUUUUUUUUUCAACUUGAUUCGAUUUUUACCAUAAAUUCUUGCAUUUACUCUUAGCCUUGGUCGAUACUCCAAGUAUCCGACCCAAGCAACUAUUUAACACCCCCCUUUGCCUUUUAAUCUUUCUUUGAAGUUUCUUUGCAGAGAACUAUGGGAGAUGUAGGUCAAGACCAAGCGGCCAUAAACGCUCAGCUCUUAGCUGACAAUGAAGAACUGAGGGCGAGCCUUAGGACUAUCACCGCCGAUCUUGCUCAGCUACGGCAGGGAGGCAGGCCCAACGGACCUCGACCACCAGGAAGGCGUCAGCCGGAUCCGCAUGACACUGACUCGGACGCGGACAGUACCGAUGACACGCACAGUCAGGACGAAGAGAGGCCGAACCGGGGAGGUAGGAGGAACGCGCGAGGACCCC